rnacentral:rRNA from 2 species
UACGGAGGGUGCAAGCGUUAUCCGGAAUCACUGGGCGUAAAGGGCGCGUAGGCGGUCUGUUAAGUCCGAUGUUAAAGCCCGGGGCUCAACCCCGGCACGGCGUUGGAUACUGGCAGGCUUGACGGCUGGAGAGGCGAGUGGAAUUACCAGUGUAGCGGUGGAAUGCGUAGAUACUGGUAGGAACACCUAUGGCGAAGGCAGCUCGCUGGACAGCACGUGACGCUGAGGCGCGAAAGUGUGGGGAGCAAACCGG